rnacentral:rRNA from 1 species
GUCGAACGCCCCGCAAGGGGAGUGGCAGACGGGUGAGUAACGCGUGGGAACAUACCCUUUCCUGCGGAAUAGCUCCGGGAAACUGGAAUUAAUACCGCAUACGCCCUACGGGGGAAAGAUUUAUCGGGGAAGGAUUGGCCCGCGUUGGAUUAGCUAGUUGGUGGGGUAAAGGCCUACCAAGGCGACGAUCCACAGCUGGUCUGAGAGGAUGAUCAGCCACAUUGGGACUGAGACACGGCCCAAACUCCUACGGGAGGCAGCAGUGGGGAAUAUUGGACAAUGGGCGCAAGCCUGAUCCAGCCAUGCCGCGUGAGUGAUGAAGGCCUUAGGGUUGUAAAGCUCUUUCACCGGAGAAGAUAAUGACGGUAUCCGGAGAAGAAGCCCCGGCUAACUUCGUGCCAGCAGCCGCGGUAAUACGAAGGGGGCUAGCGUUGUUCGGAAUUACUGGGCGUAAAGCGCACGUAGGCGGAUAUUUAAGUCAGGGGUGAAAUCCCAGAGCUCAACUCUGGAACUGCCUUUGAUACUGGGUAUCUUGAGUAUGGAAGAGGUAAGUGGAAUUCCGAGUGUAGAGGUGAAAUUCGUAGAUAUUCGGAGGAACACCAGUGGCGAAGGCGGCUUACUGGUCC